rfam:Rattus norvegicus chromosome 8, whole genome shotgun sequence.
GGGGAUUUAGCUCAGUGGUAGAGCACUUGGCUAGCAAGCACAAGGCCCUGGGUUCGGUCCCCAGCUCCA